CGGCGAGGAGCAAGCGAAAGACGGAUCUGCGAGGAGCAGCUGAUAAGUUGCCAGGUAAGGUGGCCAUGUGGACCAGCACACAAGACCAAAACUGAUGACCAAAACUAAUGGACUGAGUAUGUCAGGUACCUUUCCUUCCCCGACAAAUUGACUGGAGCGAGGAGGUGGAGAACUAUGGCCUCCACGUUCGUUGAAGCGACAGCGAGCGCACGGAGGACCCUGCGACGGCGGCCC